GACGAACGCUGGCGGCGUGCUUAACACAUGCAAGUCGAACGAUGAAGCUGGAGCUUGCUCCGGUGGAUUAGUGGCGAACGGGUGAGUAACACGUGAGAAAUCUGCCCUUGACUCUGGGAUAACUGCGGGAAACUGUAGCUAAUACCGGAUACUUUCCCUGGUGGGCAUCCACUGGGGAAGAAAGAAUUUCGGUCAAGGAUGAUCUCGCGGCCUAUCAGCUAGUUGGUGAGGUAAUGGCUCACCAAGGCGACGACGGGUAGCCGGCCUGAGAGGGUGACCGGCCACACUGGGACUGAGACACGGCCCAGACUCCUACGGGAGGCAGCAGUGGGGAAUAUUGCACAAUGGGCGCAAGCCUGAUGCAGCAACGCCGCGUGAGGGAUGAAGGCCUUCGGGUUGUAAACCUCUUUUAGCAGGGAAGAAGCGAAAGUGACGGUACCUGCAGAAAAAGCACCGGCUAACUACGUGCCAGCAGCCGCCGUAA
rnacentral:rRNA from 1 species